rnacentral:rRNA from 1 species
UACGGGAGGCAGCAGUGGGGAAUAUUGCACAAUGGGCGCAAGCCUGAUGCAGCCAUGCCGCGUGUAUGAAAAAGGCCUUCGGGUUGUAAAGUACUUUCAGUCGUGAGGAAGGUGUUAAGGUUAAUAACCUUAGCAAUUGACGUUAGCGACAGAAGAAGCACCGGCUAACUCCGUGCCAGCAGCCGCGGUAAUACGGAGGGUGCGAGCGUUAAUCGGAAUUACUGGGCUAAAGGGCACGCAGGCGGUUAAUUAAGUUGGAUGUGAAAUCCCCGGGCUUAACCUGGGAAUGGCAUUCAAGACUGGUUAGCUAGAGUCUUGUAGAGGGGGUAGAAUUCCAUGUGUAGCGGUGAAAUGCGUAGAGAUGUGGAGGAAUACCGGUGGCGAAGGCGGCCCCUGGACAAAGGACUGACGCUCAUGUGCGAAAGCGUGGGGAGCAAACAGGGAUUAGAUACC